GAUGAACGCUAGCGGCAGGCCUAACACAUGCAAGGUCGAGGGGCAUCAUGGCGUAGCAAUACGCUGAUGGCGACCGGCGCACGGGUGCGUAACGCGUAUGGAACCUACCCACCGCAGGGGGAUAACCCGCCGAAAGGCGGACUAAUACCCCAUGGUUCCCCGACCCUGCCUGGGGUUGGGGGUAAAGCCUACGGGCGGCGGUGGAUGGCCCUGCGUGCCAUUAGCUGGCUGGUGGGGUAACGGCCCACCAGGGCGACGAUGGCUAGGGGGUCUGAGAGGACGAUCCCCCCACACUGGUACUGAGACACGGACCAGACUCCUACGGGAGGCAGCAGUUGGGAAUCUUAGGCAAUGGACGAAAGUCUGACCUAGCGACGCCGCGUGAGGGAAGAAGGCCUUCGGGUUGUAAACCUCUGUCAUGGGGGAAGAAGGAAGUGACGGUACCCCAAGAGGAAGCCCCUGCUAACUACGUG
rnacentral:rRNA from 1 species